UGGGUCACCUCCCACCCGUGUCUAUCGUACCUUGUUGCUUCGGCGGGCCCGCCGUUUCGACGGCCGCCGGGRAGGCCUUGCGCCCCCGGGCCCGCGCCCGCCGAAGACCCCAACAUGAACGCUGUUCUGAAAGUAUGCAGUCUGAGUUGAUUAUCGUAAUCAGUUAAAACUUUCAACAACGGAUCUCUUGGUUCCGGCAUCKAUGAAGAACGCAGCGAAAUGCGAUAAGUAAUGUGAAUUGCAGAAUUCAGUGAAUCAUCGAGUCUUUGAACGCACAUUGCGCCCCCUGGUAUUCCGGGGGGCAUGCCUGUCCGAGCGUCAUUGCUGCCCUCAAGCACGGCUUGUGUGUUGGGCCCCCGUCCCCCUCUCCCGGGGGACGGGCCCGAAAGGCAGCGGCGGCACCGCGUCCGGUCCUCGAGCGUAUGGGGCUUUGUCACCUGCUCUGUAGGCCCGGCCGGCGCCAGCCGACACCCAACUUUAUUUUUCUAAGGUWGACMUCGGAUCAGGUAGGGAUACCCGC
rnacentral:rRNA from 1 species